GAUGAACGCUGGCGGCGUGCUUAACACAUGCAAGUCGAACGAAGCACUUAUCUUUGAUUCUUCGGAUGAAGAGGUUUGUGACUGAGUGGCGGACGGGUGAGUAACGCGUGGGUAACCUGCCUCAUACAGGGGGAUAACAGUUAGAAAUGACUGCUAAUACCGCAUAAGACCACGGAGCCGCAUGGCUCAGUGGGAAAAACUCCGGUGGUAUGAGAUGGACCCGCGUCUGAUUAGGUAGUUGGUGGGGUAACGGCCUACCAAGCCAACGAUCAGUAGCCGACCUGAGAGGGUGACCGGCCACAUUGGGACUGAGACACGGCCAAACUCCUACGGGAGGCAGCAGUGGGGAAUAUUGCACAAUGGGGGAAACCCUGAUGCAGCGACGCCGUGUGAGCGAAGAAGUAUUUCGGUAUGUAAAGCUCUAUCAGCAGGGAAGAAAGUGACGGUACCUGAAUAAGAAGCCCCGGCUAACUACGUGCCAGCCGCCGCAGUAA
rnacentral:rRNA from 1 species